UCGGGGGCGCGCUCCGGAAAUGCGGAUAGCACACUGUGUGCUGUCCGCAUCUCUUCCGGCCCUAUAGAGAAUGCGGAACGGCCCUAUUGCGGAACGGAUGCGGACCCAUUCUACAGACGUGUGAAUGGACCCUAAAUCUUAAUGGUAUAUAUUUUAUAUUAAGUGCCAUCUGUAUUAAAAGGGGUUUCCCAAAGAAACACACGGCAUAAGGGUCGCAAUGGUGGAAGUCCGGCGGCAGGCUCCCCAUUGAACAGGUCCUGGCACUGGGUUUAGUUAGUGAAAUCUAUGAACGCCUUUCACAAUAAUCAUAGGUGAGGUCAGGCAUUUGCAUGGUAAUAAAGUUGGACUAGAGAUUUAAAAUAUACACGCUCUACUGAUAGUGGUUUUGCUUUGUAUUGGAAAAAUAGAACUUACUUGGCUGGUACCACAGGUAGUGAAGCUGUGUGCUAUCAAAGACUAGGGAUCGGCCGCCAUGAGGUGCUCGUCUAUCUCUACUGGCCCCCCAUUUUUCUUCCCAGACCUUGCUUUAUAGCAUGUAUUUUUGCUGCAUUUUCAUCCUGAAUGCAGUUUGUAUAGGGUGAGAACACAUAAAGGUUACUGAAGACUAUCAUACAAUCUGUACCAUACAGUAAGGCACCCAGGGUUAUGGAUUGUUUGGUUAUCAUAAGUAUCAAAAGUAGGGACUUACAGUAAAUGUGCAAUAAAUCUAUCCUUUAUUAUUGCAGUUAAUUCCAGUUAUCACAAGGGGUAGUCAGCUAGAAGCUUAUGGUAGGUUACUUAUACUUUGCAAUCAUUUUCAGAUUUGUCACCAAGUAGUUCUCCAUGACAAUUGCUAAUAGUGCAUAAGGUGCAUCCAAUUUACCACGUACAAUAUUUCUUUAAAAAGUGCCUCUUGCAAAGAUAAUUUUGGCUUGUCUUAAAGACAAGUACAUCUGAGACUUGUGUAAAUAUAGAAAGCAUCUAUAAAGUACAAACAUCAUCAUUGUAGAAAAAAAUCAUGCUCUAUAUCUGAAAAGUGGAAACACCAACAACUAGAAUCAUCAUUUUGUAUCCAUUAUAAACUAGUGCAAAUCACGGAUAAAAGCAUACAGCCCGCAUACACGCAACAAGCUCUCACGGAACGGAAUUAUUCUUUGCCUUUCAGGAGUGGGAGAGGAGGACCAGUUUUAGGCCAGACUCAAACAGGCUUUAAAAGACAAGGGCAAUGUCAUGAUACGAGUGCAAGGAAUAAUGUACAAGACGACCAAAAAAUAAAAGCAGGGGCAAAAAUAUUCCGUUUGAAACCUGUGAUCCCCAUAUAUAAAAAAAUGUUUUAAAGACCAUCCGGCCAAUGAGAAGCCUUUUCAGAUGAAUAUCAGAGUUGCCAAAUCCCAAUGUGGGCCUGGACGUGCUAUGCAACCAUAUAAUGUUCCAAAGGAAUACUCAUUAUAAGCUACUUUUAAAGUGAAUGAAAUGAAAGGUAACUUUUUGACUAAAAUUCUAGCAAUAUGGAAAAUAUCCUUAGAAACCACCUUCUUAGGCUAUCUUCACACUGUUGAAAUACAUGCCAGAAGAAUCCAACCAGUAUUUGCAGUGGUGUCAGAAAUCCAAGGUUGACCCCUGGACUUCUGCCAAGCCAUUGAUCCACAAGGAGUGACAUGACAAGUUUUUUGUUUAAAAAAUAAAAAAUCUGGUCACAGCCGAAAUCAACAGGACACUCAAUAUGCAAAAUAAGUGUCGGAAUCGGUAGGACAAAUAAACAGUGUGAACAUACCCUAAAGUCCAGUCAUAUGUAGUCUUACACCUGGCGUACAGUUCCAGUUAUUCAUAGUGUUUACAAGUUAAUACUUUUUAAUUCAGCAAUCGGUGGACCAUCCCACAAUUUUACAGAUGUCCCUCCUCUGUAACUAUGGUUGUCGGAAAUUGCAGAAUGCGGCACCCUCAUCCAACGUGAGCGAAUCGGACAAUACAUAAAUUGUGGGUUGUGGCGGCACUGCAAGGCAGCGUGGCCUUGAGAAGAAAUAAAAGAGCCUCUGAUAAGUUUGGCCAGUAAGGCAUCAUAGUAUGCACCAUGAGAUGUCCACCUUGUGCAUGCUGUUCUAAACUCUGUUGGAUGCUUCCUAGCAGCAGACUACAACAAGCAACGGGUCGCAAAAGUCUGACGCUAUGGAGAAACUGAGGAUCUCUAUCGAGGAAAUGCAUUCCCAAGCUUCUUAAUGCUCAAGAGUAACUUCUGUGGAAUUAACCUUUUUGCUAGAUGUAACUAUCAAUGACAUGUUGUAAAAUAUUUAAGGCAGUAUAUGUAGAGAUGAUAGGAAGCCAUAUCCAAGGGUCUUUCAGAAUGACUGCUGGUUGUAUACUAAGAAUACUUUCUAACCAAAUACCUAUUAGGUCUGUUAUACUAUGGAGUUCUCCUAAGGCUGGAUUCACACGGGCG